rnacentral:rRNA from 1 species
AGAAGCUUGCUUCUCUUGAGAGCGGCGGACGGGUGAGUAAAGCCUAGGUAAUCUGCCUGGUAGUGGGGGAUAACGUUCGGAAACGGACGCUAAUACCGCAUACGUCCUACGGGAGAAAGCAGGGGACCUUCGGGCCUUGCGCUAUCAGAUGAGCCUAGGUCGGAUUAGCUAGUUGGUGAGGUAAUGGCUCACCAAGGCGACGAUCCGUAACUGGUCUGAGAGGAUGAUCAGUCACACUGGAACUGAGACACGGUCCAGACUCCUACGGGAGGCAGCAGUGGGGAAUAUUGGACAAUGGGCGAAAGCCUGAUCCAGCCAUGCCGCGUGUGUGAAGA